CAAGAAUAAUCUUUCUUUGAGAAUGUCUUUGAUUAAAAGGGUGUCGGGGAGGGACUAUAGAAAGAGCUUUUGUGUUUCAGUGGGAAACUGUAGCAUACCCAUUUGGAUUAUCAGAUUCUUAACCUUGUCAUUUAUCUUUGAGCUAUUUUGCACCUAGUUGUAAAUUGCAGGUAACUGGCGAAUAUGUAAACUUUGUCUUGCCUGGUAGUGGAGCUUUCUCUCUCCCUGUGGAAAACCCAGUUCGGUACCACUUCUAAAUUGGACUGGAUCCUAUCACUUUGAACAGAUUGUUAAUCCUUAUCAGAUUUUCAAUUCUUCCAGCUUCUUCUAGCAUCUGGCUAUGAAAUAUUAACAGCCUCCAAAACAAUCUUUCCAUUUUUCUCUCUUCCUCUUGCCUCGGAGUCAUUGAGAACUAAAACUAAAACCUCAUUGCCGAAAUCCUUACUGGAACUCUAGUUUGCAUUUCAGCUGGCCUUUGCUCCCUAGGAUUUUAACAACCACUGCAAGCUCAAGCCUGAAGACUUGUUAUAAGCCUAGGAAGACUUCUCACCCCAGCUGACCAUGCAUGAUUCAGCUCUCUUUUUGGACAAGCCACUCCAAUUUGAACUCCGAAGAAAGCCUGGUGAAAGUGACCCUACUGAGGGCCACACAUGCACUUAUUGGAGAAGUAACCAACAUGGAAAACCAAAUAUCUACUCCUAAUGCAUCACAUAGAGUGCACUCUUCUAAUUGGCUAUCCUACAGCUUCCCCCUGCCAACAGCCUCCAAUUUGACAUACCUGAAGCCUUCCCUUUUUUUCCAGUAGAGAGUUUUCCCACUACUCAACCUGCAUUUGAGUCUCUGUCAAGCAUAAGUGAUGUUUUCUUGGAGGUUCCAUGAAGAUGAGGUCUGCACUUUUCAUCACCACAGACCCCAGCCUUGAACCAGGUGCAGCACCCCUUGUGUCUUGCUGCUUGCUGCUUGUCAAGUCCAAGGAUAACUUGCCAGAAUAUUUCAUCUGUUGGAAGAGACAUCAGAAGAAGAGACAUCAGGAGAAAAUGAAAGGGACCUUAUCAGGCAUACUUGCUUAAGACACCUGCACUUCAGGAUUCAAAAACAACUGACCUUUGCUAUCACCUCUCAUCAGACGGUUCAAUUUAUUUUGUAGGAACAACACCAGAAAGAUCCCUGGAGAGAUUUUUUAUUAGAUCCUGCAUCAUUCCACUCGGGAGGUUUAUGUUUGUCUCUUAGUUGUUCAGCAGUCUAUUAUAUUCAUUCAUGUCGAACAAAAGGAGGGACUGACAAUGUUGCACUUUAUCUGAGCUCUGUGUUUCUAGAAAACAGUGAUGGUUAAGAAAUCUUCCACAUCCUUGUAUUAGGAAAAAAGACUUACUUCAACAAAAGCACUCUUCUCUGUAAAAUUUAGGUAAGACUUCCUGUCCACUUUUCCUCAUGACUCCGAUAAGAGUCGUGCAUACAGGUGUCUGUGGUCAACUGACUUUUGAGAAGGGUGCCAAGACCAUCGACAGGAAAGGAUAUUCUUUUUGACAAAUAGUUCUGAGAAAACAUGAUAGCCACAAGCAAAAGAGUGAAGUUGAAUCUUUACCUCACAAUAUGUAUUUAAAAAAUUCAAAAUGUAUGAAAGAUCUAAAUAUAAGAGCUAAAUUAUAAAAAUCUUAGAAGAAAACAUAGGGGUAGUAUAAAUCUUUAUUAUCUCAGAUGUGGCAAUGAACUUUUAGAUAUGACACCAAAAACACAAGCAAAAAAAGAAAAUAAUUCAUAAAUUGAGCUUCAUCAAAAUUAAAAACUGUUGUUCUUCAAAGGAUACUAUCAAGUAAGUGAAAAGGCAAACAGACUGUAGAGAUAUUUGCAAAUUAUAUGUCUAAUAAAGAAUUUGUGUCUAAAAUAUAUAAGGAACUCUUA